rfam:Desulfonispora thiosulfatigenes DSM 11270 genome assembly, contig: Dest_Contig00021
CUAACGGGAGCCAUAGGCCCUGUAUAGAAAGAUUAUAAGUUAUAAUUUUAUAUUAAUUCAAUACCGCUUGGAGCCAAGAGGACCGAGACGGGAGG